UAUCUAUCUAUAGGGGAAAGCAGUAUCUCCUUAGGACUCUACUCCAGAACACGGCAUAGAGCACAACAGAAUUUUUGGGGGAAAGCAGCAUCUCCUUAGGACUCUACUCCAGAACACUUGGCGUAGAGCACGGCAGAAUUUUUGGACUCAAGAGUACAAUAAUGACCAGAAACAAUCCAUACCACACCAGAUGAUGGCUAAAGAA